rnacentral:rRNA from 1 species
GAUCAUUACUGAGUUUUGGGUGUUCUCUUUUGACGCCCGAUCUCCCACCCUUUGUUUAACUACAAUUGUUGCUUUGGCAGGACUGUUUUCUUCUCUUCGGGGGAGGGACUGCCGGAGGUUGGGUUUCCGACCUCUGGAUUGUUUGCCUGCCAGUAGCCAACUUCAAAUUCUUUUUUAAUUAUGUCGUCUGAAUUCUUUAAAUAAAUUUUAUUUAAAACUUUCAACAACGGAUCUCUUGGUUCUGGCAUCGAUGAAGAACGCAGCGAAAUGCGAUAAGUAAUGUGAAUUGCAGAAUUCAGUGAAUCAUCGAAUCUUUGAACGCACAUUGCGCCCUUUGGUAUUCCGAAGGGCAUGCCUAUUCGAGCGUCAUUAUCAACCCUCAAGCCUGGCUUGUUAUUGGGUCUUGUAUCAAUUUUCGGAUUGAUAGGCCUGAAAGAUAAUGGCGGUGUCACUAAAUGACUCCUGGUGCAGCGAGCUUUUUAACUAGCAUACACUGGACAGUCUUUAAUGAAACCUCGCCUGAAAAUUCUUUUAUUUUCUUCAAGGUUGACCUCGGAUUAGGUAGGAAUACCCGCUGAACUUAAGCAUAUCAAUAAGCGGAGGAAAAGAAACCAACAGGGAUUGCCUUAGUAACGGCGAGUGAAGCGGCAAUAGCUCAAAUUUGAAAUCUGGCUCUUUCAGAGUCCGAAUUGUAAUUUGUAGAGGAUGUUUCGGACAAGGUUGCGGUUUAAAUUCCUUGGAACAGGAUGUCAUAGAGGGUGAGAAUCCCGUCUUGAAUCGUAUACUGCGUCUAUGUGAAACUCCUUCGACGAGUCGAGUUGUUUGGGAAUGCAGCUCAAAAUGGGAGGUAAAUUUCUUCUAAAGCUAAAUAUUGGCCAGAGACCGAUAGCGCACAAGUAGAGUGAUCGAAAGAUGAAAAGCACUUUGAAAAGAGAGUUAAACAGUAUGUGAAAUUGUUGAAAGGGAAGCGCUUACAACCAGACUUGUGAAUUGCAGUUCUACCUGGGUUUUCCCAGGCUUAUUCUGUUUUUCCAGGCCAGCAUCAGUUUGGGUGGUUAGUUAAAGGCUUAGGGAAUGUAUCUACUCUUCGGGGUCGACUUAUAGCCCUAGGUGUCAUGUAACCUACCUGGACUGAGGAACGCGCA